CCUGGAGAUGGCCUAGGGUAAUCGGGCCAGAAGGCAGGUAGAUAGGGCAGGAAAAUAACAGGGCCUCUGUGAGCCCAGGAGGGUGAGUGGACUACCAAGAGGCCGAGCAAAUUCGGCAGAGGCUGGGAUGCGUGCGGACGGUGGAGCCUGCAGGAUGAAGGAGAACAGACGUGCGCCAAGCGGAGAACCCUUCGGGCUGGCCCUCACCGUGGAGUCCGUAAAGGACGAGCCCGGGAGUAAGGGCAGGCCGUGCACCGGGUUGGUCACCAUCGCUGCCCCGCAGUUGCCGCCACGGUUGCCUUCUGCCGCUCGGGUUGCCCUGGCAACAAACAGCACUCGCGGGCCUCUGCUGACUCCAAGAUUCCUGUAAGUGCGCAGAACUUUACUGGGUAACUGUUGACUGAGAAGUGCCUACCUUAGUCCCUACUUCAUACCUAUAACAUCAGUGAAACCUAAGAACCUCAGAGGAAGAGAGACCGACUCAGAGAAAGAAGCAACUUGGGUGAGUGAAAUGUUGUCAGUGUCAUGUGUACUAACAAGUAUCAAACUUUAUGGACAACCUAAUUUCCUUUUCAAAAAAAAAAAAGACCCUGAAAGGUCUUUAAAGAAAGGUAAAGGAAGAAACCAAGAAUCCAUCAGCAUGGAGAAGUUAAAAAUAAAACGAUGCCCAGAGAUUUGGUUCCCAU
rnacentral:lncRNA from 1 species